rnacentral:rRNA from 1 species
GAUGAAUGCUGGCGGCGUGCCUAACACAUGCAAGUCGAGCGGUAACGGGCCUUCGGGUGCCGACGAGCGGCGGACGGCUGAGUAACGCGUGGGAACAUACCCCAAAGUGAGGGAUAACCGCCCGAAAGAGUGGCUAAUACCGCAUAUGGUCUUCGGAUUAAAGGAUUUAUCCGCUUUGGGAAUGGCCUGCGUACGAUUAGAUAGUUGGUGAGGUAAUGGCUCACCAAGUCGACGAUCGUUAACUGGUUUGAGAGGAUGAUCAGUCAGACUGGAACUGAGACACGGUCCAGAUUCCUACGGGAGGCAGCAGUGAGGAAUCUUCCACAAUGGGCGAAAGCCUGAUGGAGCAACGCCGCGUGCAGGAUGAAGGCCUUCGGGUUGUAAACUGCUUUUAUAAGUGAAGAAUAUGACGGUAACUUAUGAAUAAGCACCGGCUAACUACGUGCCAGCCGCCGCCGUAAAA